CGGGUGGAUUUUCCACUGCACGCCGACAAAAACCUCACGGUAAUCACCCAACGCAGGACCCAAAGCUACUGGAUUGCGACGUUAAUUCCAUGUUGGAUCUGAAUCCCGGAUUAAUCAGAGGUACCGCUUCUUCAGCCCAGUCAGCUCCGAUUUGAUCUCUUCAGUCGGGCAGAUGAAUCCCUGCGAUUCUAAACGGCAGCAGCAUCUUGGCUCGUAUCACGGUUGUUGGUGGGACGAGAAGCAAGAGGUGACCUGCCCAUGUUCCUGGAGAUCAGGAACCCCCAGCAUCUUCUCUGCUGGAGUCUCAGGUGAUUUGUUGGACCUUUAUUCCCAUCGUUGAGCUCCAGGAGCAGCGGUCGGUAUCACCCGUACCAGGUACUCUGAAACAGCCACUAAACUCAUUUGCAGGGUCUCCUCAUUAACCUAUAAGUGACAUAAAGGGACCAGUUGUCCUCCUAAGCCAAAAAACACGAAAAUAACACCAUGGGAAAUAGCGGGUGCUACAAGAGGGACUCAGCUCAUCCACAUGGUGACGGUCGCACGUGCUGUCACACUGACCUGGGGACAGGGACAACCUGGUGCUUGGCAGGGUCCACACACACAGCAUCGCUCUUUACUUUAAUCCACCAAAGUACAAUCACAGGCCCGUAAAAGCUCUUCCACAAACCCGUGCUCUUUAAAACUCGGUCUAUUUGUAGGUCAGGGCUUUGCAAUCAUUUGAAUUAUCGCCAGAAGGGGGCAAAAAGCUUGGCAGACCACCUAGAGCUGUAGGCAGGGCGGGGAAAUGAGCCCAAACAAGGCAAGUAACAAUCAUUUCCCUAGCGCAGCACACAAGGAGCCUAUUGCAGGGAAAGCUUUACCUCUGGCUUUGAAGAAGUUUAAGUUGGAGAGAGAAUUGACACACGCAACAUGCUGAUCCAUGCCCAUCUUGCUCUGAGCCCCCAGCUGAAUGACGCCCAUUUCCUACAUAACACCUUCCCCCCGAGAAAUUCCACUAGUUCCAUUUAUAUUGCCAUUAAACUAAAACAACAGGCCCGGAUUCAAAGUAAAGUUGAGUUUAAAACAGCUCCUGAUUACCUUAAGCUAAAACUCUCCGAGUAAACCACUCCAACCAAAGCAAGGGCAUUCUUCCAGCAAGGAACUGCACCUGUUUAAUGAGCAGUUUUAUUAAACUGGUGCAAUUUGUUCAAGCUGAAGGAGAACUACUGACGGAGAACUAAUAUGAAAAGCGGGGGAAGAGGAAAAGAGAAAAAUCCCCAAAGAAUAACCUCAAGAAAUAGAAGUUCUGCAAAACUGGCUGAAGCACAGAUGUCUACAGCAUGUGACGGGGGUUUUUUCCAUCAUCUGCUCUUUCCCUAAGCUGAACAGUCACAAAACUAAAGAAAAAAGGAGCAAGUUCUGCAGAGGGGGAGUGUUCAAAGCCCGUGAUGUCCUCUCGUGUACGAGCUGCAAAGCUGGAAGCCAGAAGGAGAGGCCGUGAAAGCCACAAAAUACCCUGUGUGAACAUAGAUCUGCAUGCUGGGGGUUUGCAGUAAAUACCUUUGCAAGAAGAAUUGUUUUAUUAGCACAAAAAGUUAGCACGAGUGAGAGAAGCACAACACGGCAAAGGACAAAGUGGACAACGUUCUGUAUUCAAACUAGCGUGGUCAGCAGGACAAGGGCAGUGAUCCUUCCCCUGUGCUCUGCAUUGGGGAGGCCACACCUGGAGUGUUGUGUUCAGUUCUGGGCCCCUCAGCUCAGGAAAGAGAUUGAAGUGCUGGAGCGGGUCCAGAGAAGAGCAACAAGACUGGGGAAGGGACUUGAGCACAAGACCCAUGGGGAGAGGCUGAGGGAGCUGGGCUUGUUUAGUCUGGAGAAGAGGAGGCUUAGAGCUGAGCUCAGCACUCUCCAGAACUACCUGAAGGGCAGUUCUAGCCAGGUGGGGAUUGGGCUCUUCUCCCAGGCAUCAGCAAUAGGACAAGGGGCCAUGGGCUUCAACUCUGCCAGGGGAAAUUGAGGCUGGAGAUGAGAAAGCAAUUCUUUGCAGAGAGAGUGGUCAGGCAUUGGAAUGGCUGCCCAGGGAGGUGCUGGACUCACCGGCCCUGGAGGUUUUGAAACUGAGAUUGGCCAUGGCACUUAGUGCCAUGAUCUAGUCAAUGGACUGGAGUUGGACCAAGGCUUGGACUGGGUGAUCUCUGAGGGCUUUUCCAACCCGGUCCAUUCUGUGAUUCUGUUUCAAGCUUUAUGGAAGGUUAAGCUGCUCAUUCAGGUGCAGCAAUAAACAGCACUAAAUAGCCUCACCCCAAUCAACGCUGCUACUUUUAGUUUGUAAAAUAAACCUGCACUUUACAAAGACAAAAAAAAGGAAUUAUCUCCCCCAUUUCUUCUCACCAAGCUAAAGAUCUUUCCCCAACCAGACAAGGUUCAGGAAGACACUAUUUUAAGAGGUUCAGUGUCAGCACGACCUCCAAGGGCUCGGAAGAAAAGCCAUGAGCACUCCAAAGAGGAAGCAGCGAACUGGUGAUU